rnacentral:lncRNA from 1 species
AGUACAGGUGGCCUAUAUGUUGGCAAGUGGCCGGAAACACAGGUUUUGCUUUAGUUUCCCUAAUAGCACACGACGUCCUUUGGACGUCCAAAAUAGGUCCAUUUUUGGUCCUAACGUCCAUGGACUAUAAACGGACGUCCCAUGUUGGACGUCCUUCGGAAGGAAUAAAAAUGGACGUCCUUUGGACGUCCGACGUUGGACGUCCUUCGGACGGAAUAAAUAUGGACGUCCUUUGGACGUCCGACGUUGAACGUCCUUUGGACGUCCAUACUGGACGAAAUACGGACGUUUUAUGAACGCUUAUCUUGGACACAUUAUACCAAUUACGGGAUCAAAUAGCAAAAUAAUUCAAUAAAAUAUUAACUUGCGUUAACUUUACGUUAAUGAAAUACAGUCAAACCUGUCACUAACGGCCACUAAAAUGAAAGAACUAUUGGCCGAUAUAGAAAAGUGGUCGUUAUUGCCAGUUUUUGUAGCCUAGAUAUACAGUACAACCUGUGUUACUGGCCACCUGUACUAACGGCCAGUUUAAAAAUUCCCCAAACCAAUUAUAUCUAGACUACAAAAACUGGCAAUACUGGUCACCUUUCUAUAUCGUCCAAUAGCUUUUUCAUUUUUAGCGACCGUUACUGACAGGUUUUACUGUAAUUAGUGUGGGGAAUUUUUAAACUGGCCGUUAGUACAGGUGGCCGGUGUUGGCAGGGGGCCGGUAACACAAGUUUUACUGUAGUUUAAAUCGAAAAGAUUAAAUCUUAAUUCAAAAUUGUAUAUUAAAUUAUUACAAUUAUAAAUUAUAUAGUUUAAUAUCCAAAACAUGUUUUGAUUUCAUGUAAUGUAAUGAAAAUCUUAUUUGUAAAUUAUUGGUUACAAUGUUUAACAACAGGAAAUAUUCAAGAAUAAAUAAAAUAAAAGUUUCCCCUAACAACAAAACAUUCCAGGAAUUCUACUAUCAAAGUUCUAUUCCGUGAACAUCGAUUAAAUUAUGGCUGGAAAGUUACCACAAGAUAUUCUAUGAAAAGAGUACAAUGUCCUCCUGGAGGGGUAAAAUUUUCCAUACUCUAAAGAGAGGCCAUUUACUAUUCAAUUUGCGUUCAUUUUCAAAUUUGCCGCGCGAGUAUCUAUGUAGCGUCGCGUGGUCAUUGGUCAUCAAGUCAUCUUAUUUCAUUUUCAUCAUAAGAUAACCUAAAAAUUUAGUAAAAAUUUUGAUUGGAAAAAAAUGCAUCGAUAAGGGGGUGAAAAAUGGAAAUUAGUGGCUUUUUUUUGCUGUACUUAACUGUACUGUUUAGUAUGCUAGUUUUGGCUAUGGCUGGAUCUCUUAAACAAUUAUAAUCAGCUGAAACUGGUCUACAAAAAACCAGAUAUAACCAAAAUAAAGAUAUAAAAAGUGUAUUGGCUAAUUGGAAGAAACUCAACAUUGUCCAUGCAUAAUAAGUUAUUACUUUAUAAACAAAUAUUAAGACCUAGGAAUGGAACCUGGAUAUAAUCAUCAAGAAGAUAGCAGGAAUCCCGACAAACAACAGGAAAUCCAGCUCCUCGAUACUACUGGGCAAACUAGAAGAUUGAAGAGGACAAAGCCUUUUGAACUAGUUUGAGUGAUAGGUGAUAGUGAAAAGCAGAGCAUAGUGCGUGAUGUGGCUGUGUAUGUUAGAAUAGUGCACGAUCUUGUUAGAUUAGAUAAGAGACGCUAUCGGGUAAGCUCUUCAUUUUAAGAAACAGUAGUAAUUUAGGUUAAAUUAAAAUUGCUCAUUGGUCAGUUAUGACCAGAUUGCUUUUUUUUAUGUUUGACAAAAAGGGCGUAAGUCAGAAUUGCACAUUGCUAAUGUUUUGAUGAUUUCUGGACCAGCAAAAAACUGUUGUAGACGUAAACUGUAUGUACCAAUAAAAAGAGCCGAUUUUUCUGGUCCAGAAAUCAUCAAAACAUUAUCGAUGUGCAUUUCUGACUUAAGCCCUUUUUCCCAAACAUCAGAGAAUUGCAAUGUACAAAUUCUCCUAUCUGAUUUUUCAUGAAUUUUGUAGGAGACGAAAAACCAUUUUUAGGAUCAUCUCCUGCUUUCACAUGUAAAUUUUGACAUGUCUUGUAGUAAAUAGAUAGUUGAAUUUACUACAAAACAUGUCAAAAAAUAUAUGAAAACAGGAGGUGACCAUAAAAAAAGUUUUUAGUCUCUCUUAAAAAAACUCAUGAAAAAACAAAUCGGAGGUAUGUCACAUCAGUGACUAUAUCCAGGGAAUGUCUAAAAAAUAUACUUUGAUGUCCCAAGAACCAAAUAUAACCUUUAUAUAUAUAUAUACAGGGUGUAACAAAAAUACAGGUCAUAAAUUUAAUCACAUAUCCUGGGACCAAAAAUAGUUUGAUUGGACCUAUAACUUACCUUAGUACAAAUGUGCACAAAAGAAAAGUUACAGCCCUUUGAAGUUAUAUAUUAAUAGCACCAAGGGCCUUAGAGGCCCAUGGCUUGAAAAGUUUGUUUUUUUCUUCAUUUUCACGUUUCUUUAUGUACUGAGAUCUUCUCUGGCUUGAUAUGUGAUUUUUCUCCAUUCCUUCCUCUUAUUCAUUUUUCUUUUCUGACCCUGUAACACCAUUCUUUCCAAAUCUUUUUCGACCUCUUGCUUCCAUCUAUUUUCCGGUCUUCCUCUUCUCUUUCUUGAAGCUAUAGUGUAGUUUAGUACCCUUUUCGGAGUCCUCGUUUUUGGCAUCCUUUCAAUGUGACCUCAUGAUCUAAGUCUCUGUGCCUUUAUCACUCAUUUGAAGUUACAAAAUGAAAAGUGAUUUUUUCCAAUGUAUCGAAAACAAUGUGCUUUUGUGCACGUUUCAAUUUAAUUAUUAUUGUAGUACCUACCAUUUAAACAACGUUUUAAAAACUUUUUUGCCUCUUAUUGCUUUUUCAAAAAGUCAAUUUUUAUCGAAAUAUUUUGAAUAUUUGUCAAAUCCACCACAUAUUUGUAUAUGGUUAAGUACGAUUAUGGAGACUUGGUAAUAAUAUGCAAACUUAUUUAUGCUUUACAUUUUUAGGUAUAUUUUGAACCAUAUUAAAAAAGAA